rfam:Schistosoma rodhaini strain Burundi genome assembly, scaffold: SROB_scaffold0002207
GCACUGAUGAGAAGUUCCACAAUAGGACGAAACGGCCGUCCAGUGC